rnacentral:lncRNA from 1 species
GGAGUAACAACACCCGUUUUGGCAUUGCUGCUAAGUACAUGCUGGAUUGUAGAACUUCUCUCUCUGCUAAAGUAAAUAAUGCCAGCCUGAUUGGACUGGGUUAUACUCAGACCCUUCGACCAGUCAAAUUGACUUUAUCAGCUUUAAUCGAUGGGAAGAACUUCAGUGCAGGAGGUCACAAGGUUGGCUUGGGAUUUGAACUGGAAGCUUAAUGUGGUUUGAGGAAAGCAUCAGAUUUGUCCCUGGAAGUGAAGAGAAAUGAACCCACUAUGUUUUGGCCUUAAAAUUCUUCUGUGAAAUUUCAAAAGUGUGAACUUUUUAUUCUUCCAAAGAAUUGUAAUCCUCCCCACACUGAAGUCUAGGGGUUGCGAAUCCCUCCUGAGGGAGAUGCUUGAAGGCAUGCCUGGAAGUUGUCAUGUUUGUGCCACGUUUCAGUUCAGUUCUGAAGUGUUAUUAAAUGUGUUCCUCAGCGACAGUGUAGCGUCAUGUUAGAGGAGACGAUCUGACCCACCAGUUUGUACAUCACGUCCUGCAUGUCCCACACCAUUUUUUCAUGACCUUGUAAUAUACUGGUCUCUGUGCUAUAGUGGAAUCUUUGGUUUUGCAUCAUAGUAAAAUAAAAUAAACCCAUCACAUUUGGAAC